rnacentral:rRNA from 1 species
GAGUUUGAUCAUGGCUCAGAACGUACGCUGGCGGCACGCCUAACACAUGCAAGUCGAACGAAGUAGCAAUACUUAGUGGCAGACGGGUGAGUAACAUGUAGGUAUCUGCCCUUUGGCCUGGAAUAACACGAGGAAACUUGUGCUAAUACCGGAUAAGUCUUUACGGAGAAAGCUUUAUGCACCAUUGGAUGAGCCUGCACUUGAUUAGUUUGUUGGUGGGGUAAUGGCCUACCAAGACUGUGAUCAAUAGCUGAUUUGAGAGGAUGAUCAGCCACAUUGGGACUGAGACACGGCCCAAACUCCUACGGGAGGCAGCAGUGGGGAAUCUUGCACAAUGGAGGAAACUCUGAUGCAGCGAUGCCGCGUGAGUGAAGAAGGCCCUUGGGUUGUAAAGCUCUUUCGUCGGGGAAGAAAAUGACUGUACCCGAAUAAGAAGGUCCGGCUAACUUCGUGCCAGCAGCCGCGGUAAUACGAAGGGACCUAGCGUAGUUCGGAAUUACUGGGCUUAAAGAGUUCGUAGGUGGUUGAAAAAGUUAGUGGUGAAAUCCCAGAGCUUAACUCUGGAACUGCCAUUAAAACUUUUCAGCUAGAGUAUGAUAGAGGAAAGCAGAAUUUCUAGUGUAGAGGUGAAAUUCGUAGAUAUUAGAAAGAAUACCAAUUGCGAAGGCAGCUUUCUGGAUCAUUACUGACACUGAGGAACGAAAGCAUGGGUAGCGAAGAGGAUUAGAUACCCUCGUAGUCCAUGCCGUAAACGAUGUGUGUUAGACGUUGGAAAUUUAUUUUCAGUGUCGCAGGGAAACCGAUAAACACACCGCCUGGGGAGUACGACCGCAAGGUUAAAACUCAAAUGAAUUGACGGGGACCCGCACAAGUAGUGGAGCAUGUGGUUUAAUUCGAAGAUACGCGCAGAACCUUACCAACACUUGACAUGUUCGUCGCGACUCUAAGAGAUUAGAGUUUUCGGUUCGGCCGGACGAAACACAGGUGCUGCAUGGCUGUCGUCAGCUCGUGUCGUGAGGUGUUGGGUUAAGUCCCGCAACGAGCGCAACCCUCACUUUUAGUUGCCAUCAUUAAGUUGGGCACUCUGAAAGAACUGCCAGUGAUAAGCUGGAGGAAGGUGGGGAUGACGUCAAGUCCUCAUGGCCCUUACGUGUUGGGCUACACACGUGCUACAAUGGUAUCUACAACAGGAAGCAAGACUGCGAAGUUAAGCAAAUCCCUAAAAGAUACCUCAGUUCGGAUUGCACUCUGCAACUCGAGUGCAUGAAGCUGGAAUUACUAGUAAUCGUGGAUCAGCGUGCCACGGUGAAUGCGU